rnacentral:tmRNA from 2 species
GGGGUUGACUGGAAUUGACGGGAAGGUUAAAUCCAAUGUAAGCAUGCGAGGUGUUGUAAGUAUUACCUCUCAUAUCAAACUUACACAGUGCAUAAAUGGCAACGAUGGUCUGCCUAUUAUCCUUCCUAAGGCCUGGACUCUUACUUUAAGUCUAAGAAGAAAACGAGAAGAAGAAGAGGAAGAAGGCGCUGACGCAUUGCGUUUGGCUGCUUAAUCGAUAGAUUAAGAAGGAUAUGUCCCGCUGGUUUUUGUUCUAUGGGAUCAGCAUAGGGGCAUCGAUGCAUGGAACUAGUGUCACCAGGUACGUGAUGGUGGCAUAAAGCAUAACCGCGUAUAAGUGCAACAUUAGGUCUGUUGCUGACCUUGGUUGCGCCGACAAUAAACAGCGACUAAGCAUGUAGAAAGCGUUGCGGUUUUCUUGUUCGGACGAGGGUUCGAUUCCCUCCAGCUCCACAU